UGGGGAAUAUUGGACAAUGGGCGCAAGCCUGAUCCAGCCAUGCCGCGUGAGUGAUGAAGGCCCUAGGGUUGUAAAGCUCUUUCACCGGUGAAGAUAAUGACGGUAACCGGAGAAGAAGCCCCGGCUAACUUCGUGCCAGCAGCCGCGGUAAUACGAAGGGGGCUAGCGUUGUUCGGAAUUACUGGGCGUAAAGGGUGCGUAGGCGGCGCUCUAAGUUUGGUGUGAAAUCUCCCGGCUUAACUGGGAGGGUGCACUGAAAACUGGGGCGCGCGAGUAUGGGAGAGGAAAGCGGAAUUCCUGGUGUAGCGGUGAAAUGCGUAGAGAUCAGGAGGAACACCUGCGGUGCAGACGGCUUUCUGGACCAUCACUGACGCUGAGGCACGAAAGCGUGGGUAGCAAACA
rnacentral:rRNA from 1 species